rnacentral:rRNA from 1 species
GAUGAACGCUGGCGGCGUGCUUAACACAUGCAAGUCGAACGAUGAAGCCCAGCUUGCUGGGUGGAUUAGUGGCGAACGGGUGAGUAACACGUGAGUAACCUGCCCUUGACUCUGGGAUAAGCGCUGGAAACGACGUCUAAUACCGGAUACGAGCUUCCACCGCAUGGUGAGUUGCUGGAAAGAAUUUCGGUCAAGGAUGGACUCGCGGCCUAUCAGGUAGUUGGUGAGGUAACGGCUCACCAAGCCGACGACGGGUAGCCGGCCUGAGAGGGUGACCGGCCACACUGGGACUGAGACACGGCCCAGACUCCUACGGGAGGCAGCAGUGGGGAAUAUUGCACAAUGGGCGCAAGCCUGAUGCAGCAACGCCGCGUGAGGGACGAAGGCCUUCGGGUCGUAAACCUCUUUUAGCAGGGAAGAAGCGAAAGUGACGGUACCUGCAGAAAAAGCACCGGCUAACUACGUG